rnacentral:rRNA from 1 species
AAAUCCGGUUCACUUUAACACUGAGGCGUGACGACGAGGCACUACGGUGCUGAAGCAACAAAUGCCCUGCUUCCAGGAAAAGCCUCUAAGCAUCAGGUAACAUCAAAUCGUACCCCAAACCGACACAGGUGGUCAGGUAGAGAAUACCAAGGCGCUUGAGAGAACUCGGGUGAAGGAACUAGGCAAAAUGGUGCCGUAACUUCGGGAGAAGGCACGCUGACACGUAGGUGAAGUGAUUUACUCAUGGAGCUGAAGUCAGUCGAAGAUACCAGCUGGCUGCAACUGUUUAUUAAAAACACAGCACUGUGCAAACACGAAAGUGGACGUAUACGGUGUGACGCCUGCCCGGUGCCGGAAGGUUAAUUGAUGGGGUCAGCGCAAGCGAAGCUCCUGAUCGAAGCCCCGGUAAACGGCGGCCGUAACUAUAACGGUCCUAAGGUAGCGAAAUUCCUUGUCGGGUAAGUUCCGACCUGCACGAAUGGCGUAAUGAUGGCCAGGCUGUCUCCACCCGAGACUCAGUGAAAUUGAACUCGCUGUGAAGAUGCAGUGUACCCGCGGCAAGACGGAAAGACCCCGUGAACCUUUACUAUAGCUUGACACUGAACAUUGAGCCUUGAUGUGUAGGAUAGGUGGGAGGCUUUGAAGUGUGGACGCCAGUCUGCAUGGAGCCGACCUUGAAAUACCACCCUUUAAUGUUUGAUGUUCUAACGUGGACCCGUUACCCGGGUUGCGGACAGUGUCUGGUGGGUAGUUUGACUGGGGCGGUCUCCUCCUAAAGAGUAACGGAGGAGCACGAAGGUUGGCUAAUCCUGGUCGGACAUCAGGAGGUUAGUGCAAUGGCAUAAGCCAGCUUGACUGCGAGCGUGACGGCGCGAGCAGGUGCGAAAGCAGGUCAUAGUGAUCCGGUGGUUCUGAAUGGAAGGGCCAUCGCUCAACGGAUAAAAGGUACUCCGGGGAUAACAGGCUGAUACCGCCCAAGAGUUCAUAUCGACGGCGGUGUUUGGCACCUCGAUGUCGGCUCAUCACAUCCUGGGGCUGAAGUAGGUCCCAAGGGUAUGGCUGUUCGCCAUUUAAAGUGGUACGCGAGCUGGGUUUAGAACGUCGUGAGACAGUUCGGUCCCUAUCUGCCGUGGGCGCUGGAGAACUGAGGGGGGCUGCUCCUAGUACGAGAGGACCGGAGUGGACGCAUCACUGGUGUUCGGGUUGUCAUGCCAAUGGCACUGCCCGGUAGCUAAAUGCGGAAGAGAUAAGUGCUGAAAGCAUCUAAGCACGAAACUUGCCCCGAGAUGAGUUCUCCCUGAGACUUUAGGUCUCCUGAAGGAACGUUGAAGACGACGACGUUGAUAGGCCGGGUGUGUAAGCGCAGCGAUGCGUUGAGCUAACCGGUACUAAUGAACCGUGAGGCUUAAC